CUUCAAGCCACAACCAUCUUUCAUCUUGGCAGAGGGGGGCGUGGUGGUUGAAUAAAGCCUCCAGCACUCCCUACCCACCCUUCCUCUCUUCCGGCUCCCCUUGAACAUUUUCUGGGUGUCAGAUACUCUAACAGAAUCUGCUCUUUGAAUUGGAUUCAAGUUCAGCUCUAACUAGGUGUUCACAUUCACAGCCUGCUGACAAGAUCAGAGCAGCUAUGACUCUGCUGGAGGCUGUUAACACCCAAGACUGUACUAACUUCAUUAGGCUCAAAUCUCUACCUUUGAAAUAUGCAAUAUGCUCUAUGGAAGGAAAGGGAACAUAUGCAAUGGAAGGAGGUCUUUCGGCUGAGCCACACCAGACAAUCUGAAACUUUCUACCGGAGUAACACAAAUGGAAAUGGAAAUAUAAUGUGGCUUAAAUAUUUUUUGAACAUUACUCUGAAGACCUCUGUAUUAGAAUCAUCUGUGGUACUUCUUUAAAAUGCAAAUUCUUGGGGGGCCUGGGUGGCUCAGUCAGUUAAACAUCUGACUCUUGAUUUUGGCUUGGGUCAUGAUCUCAGGGUGUUGGGAUCGAGCCCCACUCAGGGCUCUGUGCUCAGUGGGGAGUCUGCUUGAGACUCUCUCCCUCUCCCUUUGCCCCCCUCCCUAAAAAAUACAAUGCAAAUUCUUGGCUAGCUUCAGACCUGCAGAAUGUGAGGGUUCUUCAAAAUUUGAAAACCACUGAUGGAGAUAUUUAACUAUUCCUUGUUUCAGAAAGCAUUCUGAUCCACCUCAAAACCAGAUUUGUUAGCUUUUCCCACAUUCUUCUUUCUUCAAAUUACCUUUAUGUUGUAAUUGCUACCCUGAGGGCAGGGGCUGUGUUUUGUUGUCCAUUGUAUUCUCAGAAUUCAGCACAGUAACUUAGAUGUGUAAAC
rnacentral:lncRNA from 1 species